UAGGUAUGUGGGGGAGGGGGGUUGUCUGCAACCAUCGGCCAUACUGGGCCACGGUAACGCCUGGAAACACGGGCUCGCAGAUCGGCGCUGGGUGACGCACAUUCCCUAAUCAGGGGCCUCCUCCUGCCCCGGCGCAUCGGCGCCAACUGGCUUGCAGACCGGCUUCUAGUAAGCAGGAUAGCUCUCGCGGGGAAACCAUCAGAACCCGCCGCACCAGCGUCCGCACCCGUAGAGCAGCGACCUAGGAAGGCCGAGAUGGCGCUCGUUCGGGGAAGUUCGGCACAAGUAUGUUCAGUGCCUACACAGGUAACGGAGCCGAACCGUUCCUGAUGGGUUUCGAUCCUGCGACCUUGAUGUGACUCCGACACCCAACUCCGGCAUCGUGGCGCAAGACCACCCGCGUACAAAGCCCACGGGCGGGCGGGUUGGUUAGGUAUGUGGGGGAGGGGGGUUGUCUGCAACCAUCGGCCAUACUGGGCCACGGUAACGCCUCGACACACGGGCUCGCAGAUCGGCGCUGGGUGACGCACAUUCCCUAAUCAGGGGCCUCCUCCUGCCCCGGCGCAUCAGCGCCAACUGGCUCGCAGACCGGCUUCUAGAAAGCAGGAUAGCUCUCGCGGGGAAACCAUCAGAACCCGCCGCACCAGCGUCCUCACCCGUAGAGCAGCGACCUAGGAAGGCCGAGAUGGCGCUCUUUCGGGGAAGUUCGGCACAAGUAUGUUCCGUGCCUACACAGGCAGGUUAGGUAUGUGGGGGAGGGGGGUUGUCUGCAACCAUCGGCCAUACUGGGCCACGGUAACGCCUCGAAACACGGGCUCGCAGAUCGGCGCUGGGUGACGCACAUUCCCUAAUCAGGGGCCUCCUCCUGCCCCGGCGCAUCAGCGCCAACUGGCUCGCAGACCGGCUUCUAGAAAGCAGGAUAGCUCUCGCGGGGAAACCAUCAGAACCCGCCGCACCAGCGUCCUCACCCGUAGAGCAGCGACCUGGGAAGGCCGAGAUGGCGCUCGUUCUGGGAAGUUCGGCACAAGUAUGUUCAGUGCCUACACAGGUAACGGAGCCGAACCGUUCCUGAUGGGUUUCGAUCUUGCGACCGUGAUGUGACUCCGGCACCCAACUCCGGCAUCGUGGCGCAAGACCACCCGCGUACAAAGCCCACGGGCGGGCGUUGGCGGGCGAGGUU
rnacentral:lncRNA from 1 species